rnacentral:rRNA from 1 species
AACGAACGCUGGCAGCGUGGAUUAGGCAUGCAAGUCGAACGGGAUCGGGCCUAGUAGCAAUACGAGGUUCGUGAGAGUGGCGGAAGGGCGAGUAAUGCGCGAGCAACCUGCCCUCUUGCCGGGAACAACCCUUGGAAACGGGGGCUAAUACCGGAUGUGGCACCUCAAGGCAUCUUGAGGCUGUUAAACGUGGGGACCCUUCGGGGCCUGCGGCAAGAGGAUGGGCUCGCGUGCCAUCAGCUUGUUGGUGAGGUAACGGCUCACCAAGGCUUACGGCUAGCUGGUCUGAGAGGACGAUCAGCCGCACUGGGACUGAGACACUGCCCAGACUCCUACGGGAGGCUGCAGUCGAGGAUCAUUCGCAAUGGGGGGAACCCUGACGAUGCGACGCUGCGUGGAGGAUGAAGGCCCUCGGGUCGUAAACUCCUGUCAUGAGGGGGUAAGAGAACACGGUAAACAGCCGUUGUUAUUUGACGGUACCUCAAGAGGAGCCACGGCUAACUCUGUGCCAGCAGCCGCGGU